rnacentral:rRNA from 1 species
AACGAACGCUGGCGGCAGGCCUAACACAUGCAAGUCGAGCGAAGCCUUCGGGCUUAGCGGCGGACGGGUGAGUAACGCGUGGGAACGUGCCCUUUGGUACGGAAUAGCCCCGGGAAACUGGGAGUAAUACCGUAUGUGGUCGAGAGACGAAAGAUUUAUCGCCAAAGGAUCGGCCCGGGUUGGAUUAGGUAGGUGGUGGGGUAAUGGCCUACCAAGCCGACGAUCCAUAGCUGGUUUGAGAGGAUGAUCAGCCAACCUGGGACUGAGACACGGCCCAGACUCAUACGGGAGGCAGCAGUGGGGAAUCUUAGACAAUGGGGGAAACCCUGAUCUAGCCAUGCCGCGUGAUCGAUGAAGGCCUUAGGGUUGUAAAGAUCUUUCAGUGGGGAAGAUAAUGACUGUACCCACAGAAGAAGCCCCGGCUAACUCCGUGCCAGCCGCCGCGGUAACAC